rnacentral:rRNA from 1 species
AUUGAACGCUAGCGGGAUGCUUUACACAUGCAAGUCGAACGAGUGGCGGACGGGUGUGUAAUAUAUCGGAAGUGCCCAGUAGCGGGGGAUAACUACUGGAAACGGUAGCUUAUACCGCAUACUCUGGGAUAACCCAUAUGGGAUUAGCUAGUAGGUGAGGUAAUGGCUCACCUAGGCGACGAUCCCUAGCUGGUCUGAGAGGAUGAUCAUCCACACUGGGACUGAGACACGGCCCAGACUCCUACGGAGGCAGCAGUGGGGAAGAUUGCACAAGGGGCGAAAGCCUGAUGCAGCCAUGCCGCGUGUAUGAAGAAGGCCCUAGGGUUGUAAAGUACUUUCAGUCGGGAGGCGUUACCGACAGAAUAAGCACCGGCUAACUACGUGCCAGCCGCCGCGGUAAUAC